AAGACAUUAGUAAAAUAUAAAUUACAUUACCUUGUCAAGAUAAAGUCGUAGGUUAAAUCCCUGCAUGUCUUA
rnacentral:tRNA from 1 species